rnacentral:ncRNA from 1 species
GGAGGACCGAACAGUAAUCUGUUAAAAAAGGUAGUGAUGACCUGUGACUCGGAGCGAAAGACUAAACAAACCUGGAAAUAGCUGGCUCUCCCCGAAAUGCCUUUAGGGACAGCCUCAUAGAAAGAUAACGGGGGUAAAGCACUGGAUGAGUGCGGGGGAGUCAAAUCCUACCAAACUCAAUCAAACUCUGAAUACCGUUACCCAGCCUAUGGGAGUGAGACUGCGUGCGACAAGGUUCGUAGUCGAGAGGGAAACAGCCCAGACCAUCAGCUAAGGUCCCAGAAUCAUGCUAAGUGUGAAAUGAAGUGCGGAUGCACAGACAGCCAGGAGGUUGGCUCAGAAGCAGCCAUUCCUUAAAAGAGUGCGUAACAGCUCACUGGUCGAGCAUCCGUGCGCAGACAAUGAAACGGGGCUAAGCAUGAUACCGAAGCUAUGGAUUCACACCUCUGGUGUGACUGGUAGGGGAGCAUUCCAAUAACCGAUGAAGGAAGACCCGCGAGGGCUCCUGGAGGACUUGGAAGAGAGAAUGCAGGUAUAAGUAACGAAAAGACGGGUGCGAUCCCCGUCCGCCGAAAACCAAAGGUUUCCAGGGUAAAGGCAAUCUGCCCUGGGUAAGUCGGCCCCUAAGGUCAGGCUGUAAAGCGUAGCCGAUGGGAAGUUGGUUUAUAUUCCAACACUUUGUACAUUUCGAUGUCAUGACGCAUGAGGUGAAAUCCAGCAGGGCGACGGUUGUCCCUGUCUAAACAGCGAUGCGUUGAUUCCCGGGUUAAAUUACGGGAAGAGAUGAGCUGCGGGCUAAGCUGAGAAGAUAGUCUCAGUAAGUGGACGUAAUCAAGGUGCCAGGAAAUAGUGACUAGGUUCAGGUGUACAAAACCGUACCGGAAACCGACACAGGUUGGUAGGAUGAGUAAUCUAAGGCGCACGAGCGACAUCGCGUUAAGGAACUCGGCAAAAUGCACACGUAACUUCGGAAGAAGUGUGGCUCCGUUUGUUGAAGAUUGGAGCGGCAGAAAGCAGGCCCAGGCGACUGUUUACCAAAAACACAGCCAUCUGCGAAUCAGCAAUGAGACGUAUAGGUGGUGACGCCUGCCCGGUGCUGGAAGGUUAAGAGGAGCGGUUAGAGCAAUCGAAGCUGUGAAUCGAAGCCCCAGUAAACGGCGGCCGUAACUAUAACGGUCCUAAGGUAGCGAAAUUCCUUGGCGGGUAAGUUCCGCCCCGCACGAAUGGCGUAACGAUUCUGGGCACUGUCUCAACGCGAUACUCGGUGAAAUUUAUAUGUCGGUAAAGAAGCCGACUACUAACAAUUAGACGGAAAGACCCCGUGAACCUUCACUGUAACCUAACGCUGGGAUCCUAUUUGUCAUGUGUAGGAUAGCUGGGAGGCUGCGAAGUCUGGGCGUCAGCUUGGAUGGAGCCAAUGGUGAAAUACCAGCCUUGAUAAAUGGGAUUUCUAACCCGCGCCUUGAAGCAGGAGUGGGGACAGGGUUAGGCAGGCAGUUUGACUGGGGCGGUCGCCUCCUAAAUUGUAACGGAGGUGCGCGAAGUUCACCUCGCGGUGGUUGGAAAUCAUCGUACGAGUGUAAAGGCAAAAGGUGGAUUGACUGCGAGAGAGACAUCUCGAGCAGGUGCGAAAGCAGGUCUUAAUGAUCUGAUGGUACUGAGUGGAAAGGCCAUCACUUAACGGACAAAAGGUACUCCGGGGAUAACAGGCUGAUUUUCCCCAAGAGUUCACAUCGACGGGAAAGUUUGGCACCUCGAUGUCGGCUCAUCGCAUCCUGGGACUGGAGCAGGCCCCAAGGGUAUGGCUGUUCGCCAUUUAAAGCGGUACGUGAGCUGGGUUCAGAACGUCGCGAGACAGUUCGGUCCCUAUCUGUUGUUAGCGUUGGAAAUUUGAGUGGAUCUGUCUUUAGUACGAGAGGACCGAGAUGGACGAACCUCUGGUUUACCGGUUAUCCUGCCAAGGGUAAGUGCCGGGUAGCUAAGUUCGGAACGGAUAACCGCUGAAAGCAUCUAAGUGGGAAGCCGGCCACAAGAUUAGAUUUCCCUGGGAACUCGAUUCCCCUGAAGACUCCUCAGACACUAUGAGGUUGAUAGGCUUGCAGGUGUAAGCGUCGCGAGACGUUCAGCCGAGCAGUACUAAUAAGUCGUGAGGCUUGGCCAU